rnacentral:rRNA from 1 species
CUUUGCUGACGAGUGGCGGACGGGUGAGUAAUGUCUGGGAAACUGCCUGAUGGAGGGGGAUAACUACUGGAAACGGUAGCUAAUACCGCAUAACGUCGCAAGACCAAAGAGGGGGACCUUCGGGCCUCUUGCCAUCGGAUGUGCCCAGAUGGGAUUAGCUAGUAGGUGGGGUAACGGCUCACCUAGGCGACGAUCCCUAGCUGGUCUGAGAGGAUGACCAGCCACACUGGAACUGAGACACGGUCCAGACUCCUACGGGAGGCAGCAGUGGGGAAUAUUGCACAAUGGGCGCAAGCCUGAUGCAGCCAUGCCGCGUGUAUGAAGAAGGCCUUCGGGUUGUAAAGUACUUUCAGCGGGGAGGAA